rnacentral:rRNA from 1 species
ACGAACGCUGGCGGCGUGCUUCACACAUGCAAGUCGAGCGGUAAGGCCUUUCGGGGUACCCGAGCGGCGAACGGGUGAGUAACACGUGGGUGAUCUGCCCUGCACUUCGGGAUAAGCCUGGGAAACUGGGUCUAAUACCGGAUAUGACCUCCUAUCGCAUGGUGGGUGGUGGAAAGAUUUAUCGGUGCAGGAUGGGCCCGCGGCCUAUCAGCUUGUUGGUGGGGUAAUGGCCUACCAAGGCGACGACGGGUAGCCGACCUGAGAGGGUGACCGGCCACACUGGGACUGAGACACGGCCCAGACUCCUACGGGAGGCAGCAGUGGGGAAUAUUGCACAAUGGGCGAAAGCCUGAUGCAGCGACGCCGCGUGAGGGAUGACGGCCUUCGGGUUGUAAACCUCUUUCAGCAGGGACGAAGCGCAAGUGACGGUACCUGCAGAAGAAGCACCGGCUAACUACGUG